UACAGGGGGGGCAAGCGUUGUUCGGAAUUACUGGGCGUAAAGGGCUCGUAGGUGGCCAACUAAGUCAGACGUGAAAUCCCUCGGCUUAACCGGGGAACUGCGUCUGAUACUGGAUGGCUUGAGUUCGGGAGAGGGAUGCGGAAUUCCAGGUGUAGCGGUGAAAUGCGUAGAUAUCUGGAGGAACACCGGUGGCGAAGGCGGCAUCCUGGACCGACACUGACGCUGAUGAGCGAAAGCCAGGGGAGCAAACGGG
rnacentral:rRNA from 1 species